GACGAACGCUGGCGGCGUGCUUAACACAUGCAAGUCGAGCGAUGAAGCUCCUUCGGGAGUGGAUUAGCGGCGGACGGGUGAGUAACACGUGGGUAACCUGCCUCAUAGAGGGGAAUAGCCUUCCGAAAGGAAGAUUAAUACCGCAUAAGAUUGUAGUACCGCAUGGUACAGCAAUUAAAGGAGCAAUCCGCUAUGAGAUGGACCCGCGUCGCAUUAGCUAGUUGGUGAGGUAACGGCUCACCAAGGCGACGAUGCGUAGCCGACCUGAGAGGGUGAUCGGCCACAGUGGGACUGAGACACGGCCCAGACUCCUACGGGAGGCAGCAGUGGGGAAUAUUGCACAAUGGGGGAAACCCUGAUGCAGCAACGCCGCGUGAGUGAUGACGGUCUUCGGAUUGUAAAGCUCUGUCUUCAGGGACGAUAAUGACGGUACCUGAGGAGGAAGCCACGGCUAACUACGUGCCAGCCGCCGCGGUAACAC
rnacentral:rRNA from 1 species